CGCACCGGCUGGACUCCAGGAGCGCCGCUGGAGCGCCGACGGCAGCCGAGCUGCACCGACCCCUCUCCAGCAGCGCGGAGUCGCGAGCCGUGCGCUCCAGGUUUACAAGGAACAAGAUGAAGGCGUUCUCCUGCAUAAAGAAUGAGGUGUGCGACUCGGACAGCCUGGGGACGUCGGACCAGCGGUCCUGGGUUCGGCUGCUGGUGC